rnacentral:rRNA from 1 species
AACGAACGCUGGCAGCAUGCCUAACACAUGCAAGUCGAACGAGACCUUCGGGUCUAGUGGCGCACGGGUGCGUAACGCGUGGGAACCUGCCCUUAGGCUCGGAAUAACACCCCGAAAGGGGUGCUAAUACCGGAUAAUGUCUUCGGACCAAAGAUUUAUCGCCUUUGGAUGGGCCCGCGUUGGAUUAGCUAGUUGGUAGGGUAAAAGCCUACCAAGGCGACGAUCCAUAGCUGGUCUGAGAGGAUGAUCAGCCACACUGGGACUGAGACACGGCCCAGACUCCUACGGGAAGCAGCAGUGGGGAAUAUUGGACAAUGGGCGAAAGCCUGAUCCAGCAAUGCCGCGUGAGUGAUGAAGGCCUUAGGGUUGUAAAGCUCUUUUACCCGGGAUGAUAAUGACAGUACCGGGAGAAUAAGCUCCGGCUAACUCCGUG